AGAACCUAAAGAAAUGGUGUUACCUGGCAAGAGAUCUGCUAUCCUUUAUGAAAAAUCCAGCCAAGGCAUUGUUCUAGGCACUGGGGAAGCAGUAGAGCCAAGCCAGAGACUGAUGUUGAGAGCACUGGGCAGAAGACUGCAAGAUACCAAGAAAGGAAAGAGCAGUCCUGAAGUACAGGAGACUUAAAUGCCCCUCAUAUACCAGAAGGAUGACAUCACAGAAAGAGAUGCGUUUCUUUUUUAGACCAUGGACAGUAACAUAUUUGUUUGUGAUCCCUGUUUUCUCUAAACUCAUUAUCAUAUUGAAGACUCACUGUUUCCAUGGAGGCGAAAAGAGUAACUGCCCUUUUAUUGGCUUUCACAUUAUGCAAGGAGGUCAGUGACGGGAAGAAGACCUGGUAAUUCUGGCAGGAAGCUCCAAAAGGUCACUUCUGCCUUUAUUUUUAGGAACUCUGAUGGGCAGAGGCCUUAGUCACUGCAGCUGUUUAUAAUUAGAAAGCAACAGGCCUUCGGUGAUUCAUUCAUUCAUCGCAAGACAAAACUCACCAAACCCCUUAAAUGCUUACCUCUGCCCUUGAGAUAGUAAAUAGGCAAUAGGAAGUGUUUGGUGAGGACAGCCUGGGGUGCGUAGGACCUGGUUCCAAGCUGAUGGUGUCCUUGUCUAUAGCAGGGGCUGUGGCCAUUUGUACAUAAACACCCAAGCUGAGAAACAGAUUAUUAAGUAAAUGAGGACAGUCAUGGAAGGUCUGCUUCCCUUCAUCCCUAGCAGGUAUAUGACUUGAAACCUUCUAAUCUUGAAAGCUCAUAUGUUUUCUUAAAAAAAAAAAAAAAAGUACAUCUUUUCUAUAAAUUUGUCUGUCUUCUCCAUAAUUAUUCAGAAGAACAAAGCUGAUAUCAUGCCUCUCCCCCCCCAAAAAAAGUAAGUCUGUACACAGAGGUUUAACACAUUGUUAGUUGUUAACUUGUUUUGUACGUGGGCAUGUGAAAACACUGCUUCAGAGUUUUCUCAUUGUCACUUUGGGUCAGAUUGACAGACCAGAAUCCAAUGUACAUUCUCUAGAGACCAAGAGAUUUCCGUGCCAGGCCAGUGCUGGUGUCAACCUUUGUAUCAGCCAGGAGUGAAGCACUUUGAAAAUGUGAAGCUGCAUCACACACAUAUAAAUACACACAUGACAAUUUGUUAAAGGUUUGCAUUAAUUUAAUCAAGUAGAGUGCUCAAAGGAUGUAGUAAUAAAAAAACUACCAUGAUAGCUUUUAGUGUAGUUUCUUUGUACAUUCACAUAUACUCAGUUUUGUGGCUAAUUUUAUGUUGAAAUUAAGUGCUUGUCUGUUUUCUAUAUAUUUGCACAAUAUCCAACCAAACAAGGGGAUGAAUUGUUGGAUAUCUAUAAGGUAAAAUGUACACAGCAUUCAAGUUUUAUUUUUUUCCCUUUUGUUGUUUUUUUAUUUUAAUUGAAGGGCACGGGGAUGUUGAGUUAAAAAAUCAGGAUAUAAUGUAUUUUCAUUAAAAUACGGUAUGUAUAAGAAGAAAAAUAAUAAAACAAAAUAUCAUGAGU
ensembl:lncRNA